GACGAACGCUGGCGGCGUGCUUAACACAUGCAAGUCGAACGGAAAGGCCCUGCUUUUGUGGGGUGCUCGAGUGGCGAACGGGUGAGUAACACGUGAGUAACCUGCCCUUGACUUUGGGAUAACUUCAGGAAACUGGGGCUAAUACCGGAUAGGAGCCCCUGCUGCAUGGUGGGGGUUGGAAAGUUUCGGCGGUUGGGGAUGGACUCGCGGCUUAUCAGCUUGUUGGUGGGGUAGUGGCUUACCAAGGCUUUGACGGGUAGCCGGCCUGAGAGGGUGACUGGCCACAUUGGGACUGAGAUACGGCCCAGACUCCUACGGGAGGCAGCAGUGGGGAAUAUUGCACAAUGGGCGGAAGCCUGAUGCAGCAACGCCGCGUGCGGGAUGACGGCCUUCGGGUUGUAAACCGCUUUCGCCUGUGACGAAGCGUGAGUGACGGUAAUGGGUAAAGAAGCACCGGCUAACUACGUG
rnacentral:rRNA from 1 species